AAUGGGAAUGUCUAAGCCAUGCGAGUCAUUGUAGCAAUACAAGGCAGACGGCUCAGUAACGCGUAGUCAACCUAACCUAUGGACGGGAAUAACCUCGGGAAACUGAGAAUAAUGCCCGAUAGAACACUAUACCUGGAAUGGUUUGUGUUCCAAAUGAUUUAUCGCCGUAGGAUGGGACUGCGGCCUAUCAGUUUGUUGGUGAGGUAAUGGCCCACCAAGACUAUUACAGGUACGGGCUCUGAGAGGAGUAGCCCGGAGAUGGGUACUGAGACACGGACCCAGGCCCUAUGGGGCGCAGCAGGCGAGAAAACUUUGCAAUGUGCGAAAGCACGACAAGGUUAAUCCGAGUGGUUUGUGCUAAACGAACCUUUUGUCGGUCCUAGAAACACCGAUGAAUAAGGGGUGGGCAAGUUCUGGUGUCAGCCGCCGCGGUAAAACCAGCACCUCAAGUGGUCAGGAUGAUUAUUGGGCCUAAAGCAUCCGUAGCCGGCUCUGUAAGUUUUCGGUUAAAUCUGUACGCUCAACGUACAGGCUGCCGGGAAUACCGCAGAGCUAGGGAGUGGGAGAGGUAGACGGUACUCGGUAGGAAGGGGUAAAAUCCUUUGAUCUAUUGAUGACCACCUGUGGCGAAGGCGGUCUACCAGAACACGUCCGACGGUGAGGGAUGAAAGCUGGGGGAGCAAACCGGAUUAGAUACCCGGGUAGUCCCAGCUGUAAACUAUGCAAACUCAGUGAUGCAUUGGCUUGUGGCCAAUGCAGUGCUGCAGGGAAGCCGUUAAGUUUGCCGCCUGGGAAGUACGUACGCAAGUAUGAAACUUAAAGGAAUUGGCGGGGGAGCACCACAAGGGGUGAAGCCUGCGGUUCAAUUGGAGUCAACGCCGGG
rnacentral:rRNA from 1 species